GGGCGCUGCGGCCCCGUGGAGCCUCGCAGUAUGGCGGGCGGGGCCCGGGAGGUGCUCACACUGCAGUUGGGACAUUUUGCCGGUUUUGUGGGCGCGCACUGGUGGAACCAGCAGGAUGCUGCGCUGGGCCAAGCGACCGAUUCCAAGGAGCCCCUGGGAGAGCUGUGCCCCGACGUCCUGUAUCGUACGGGCCGAACGCUGCACGGCCAGGAGACCUACACGCCGCGACUCAUCCUCAUGGAUCUGAAGGGUGAGGUGGUGGCAGAGUCAGCCGAUGCCCCGUGUUUCCCUUCCGCGUGCCUAGUCCUUGCACUGCCGUUAUCUUCAAGACCCUCCCACCUUACCGAGCUCCAGGAUCGGAAAUGAGGAGCUGAGCACAACAUGCCAACACUCGAGGGGCCCACGACAGUUGCUCAAGAGCCAUCUCGGGAAUAGGCUGCUA
rnacentral:sRNA from 1 species